rnacentral:lncRNA from 1 species
CGUUCACUCCCUCUACUCCGGUGAGUAAUUUUUCAAGCAUUUUUAGUUUCAUUUUAAUAUAGUAAUUUACUAAUUUUUUUCUGCAACUGCCGCUCACCUGAACUUGUUGAAUGUUGGUUGCUUCAUUUUAUUUAUUUUAAAUUUAAAAUUUUAAGAUUUUGUUCAUAAAUUUUGGGCUUGCUGGUUGCUGCAUUGCUGUAUUUCUGUUCUUCAAUAUUGAUUUUAGUCUCUGGCGCGGUCGUGUUGGUAUUGUGGGGCCACUGUUGAGGAAUUGCAGGUGUGGUGCGGAGGUUUGUUGAAUGAGGAGAAGAGAUGGAGGGGUUUAUGUAUAUAGGGAAGAACCGUCGAAGUCAGAUCCUCACUUACAUCAUUCUGCAAGAUUUUAUAUUGUAUUUAUGAAAGAUUGUCCAUGUUUAGGAAAUUUGAAAACUUACCAGAUUCAAUAGCAAAUCUCUUAUGUAAUCAAUAUGGAUACCAUAAAGCUAUGUCAUGGAUUUCUUUAGUGGAGCUUCUGUGUGUCUGCGUGUAUAUACUAUUAUUUAGUAUAUGUAUAUAGAAUUGAGAUCACA